rnacentral:rRNA from 1 species
GGUUAAGUUAGAAAGGGCGCACGGUGGAUGCCUUGGCACUAGGAGCCGAAGAAGGACGGGACUAACACCGAUAUGCUUUGGGGAGCUGUACGUAAGCGUUGAUCCAGAGAUUUCCGAAUGGGGGAACCCACUAUCUUUAGUCGGAUAGUAUCCUUACGUGAAUACAUAGCGUGAGGAAGGCAGACCCAGGGAACUGAAACAUCUAAGUACCUGGAGGAAGAGAAAGAAAAAUCGAUUUCCUGAGUAGCGGCGAGCGAAACGGAAAGAGCCCAAACCAAGAAGCUUGCUUCUUGGGGUUGUAGGACACUCUAUACGGAGUUACAAAAGAAAGUUAUAAAUGAAGCGGUCUGGAAAGGCCCGCCAAAGACGGUAACAGCCCGGUAGUUGAAAUGGCUUUCCCUCCAGAGUGGAUCCUGAGUACGGCGGAACACGUGAAAUUCCGUCGGAAUCCGGGAGGACCAUCUCCCAAGGCUAAAUACUCCCUAGUGACCGAUAGUGAACCAGUACCGUGAGGGAAAGGUGAAAAGCACCCCGGAAGGGGAGUGAAACAGUUCCUGAAACCGUGUGCCUACAAGUAGUUAGAGCCCGUUAAUGGGUGAUAGCGUGCCUUUUGUAGAAUGAACCGGCGAGUUACGAUUUGUUGCAAGGUUAAGCGGAAAAAGCGGAGCCGUAGCGAAAGCGAGUCUGAAUAGGGCGCAUAAGUAACAGGUCGUAGACCCGAAACCAGGUGAUCUACCCAUGUCCAGGAUGAAGGUA